UUCCGGGGCUGCACGCUUGUUUGUGGCCGCAGAUCAUCAUUUAUUUUAAUAGGAUGCCUUUUUUUUUGUUAAAUUUUAUUAGAUAGUUUAGACUGCCACCUCGCACACAGCCCCGUCCCGCUUGUCCCGGAGAUCGACGGCGGGCUGUGGGGAAUGGUGGAGGAGAGCUCCCGACCUAAGACAAGGCAGAUGCCAGUACUGGAGGCUGCAGCCCACUGACGUGAGGGACAUUACCUACUCCCCGUGCGAAGCCGUCCCGGAAGUUGGUGGCGAAUGGUCAGCUCCCUCCUCUGGCUGCACCCCGUUUGUUCAGUAUCGCCCCUCUCUCACCCCCUCCCCUCUUCUCUGAGUCUCUUUGCUUCCCCCCGCUGCUAGGAUGCUGAAGGCUGUGGCGUGAAUGAGAUGGCAGCCGGCCGGCUCUUGCUUUACGCCGGCCUCUCCAUGGCCCUCUGCGCCCUGGGUAUGCUGGCUGUGGCCAUCUGCUCCGACCACUGGUACCAGACAGACGCCAGGAGGCACCGGGAGAGGUGCAAGAAUUACGCCAGCCGCACCAACCACCCGGGCUUCAUCUACACCUCCAACAACCUGCCCCUCCGCGCCAGCCGCCGCCGGCUCGACCGCUGGGAGGAGAAGCUGCUCGGCGCCCGCAACCGGCGGCAGCUCUUCGCCAUGAGCGCGGCGGAUGAGUGCAGCAGGAUGUACAACUCUACCAACACCGGCCUGUGGAGGAGGUGCCACCGGCUCGGCUUCGACCAGGAUAUCGCCGAACUCAUCGCCAAAGGUGAAAUAGACAGGUGUACGCCAAUCAAGUAUCACUACUCCUCAGCAAUCCUUCCGAAAAACCUUUCAUACAACAUCACAAAAACCAUCCGGCAAGACGAGUGGCACUCCCUGCAUCUCCGUCGGAUGACAGCUGGAUUCAUGGGAAUGGCAGUUGCUAUCAUCCUUUUUGGCUGGAUUAUCGGGAUCCUGGGCUGCUGUUGGGACCGGGGACUGAUGCAGUACGUGGCUGGCUUACUGUUCCUUAUGGGAGACUCCGGUGCUGAGGGGAAUAUGUUGUAUGAAGACAUAGCUGUCCAGGCCGGAAUUCCUCGGGAGCCGUUGACUACCCCUCUGGAAGCCCGGGCACUGGACGGAGGAUUUCUGGCUCAAGUCACUCACCGUACACCACCACUGUCUUUGAUCCUCUCUGGGAAUCAUCGGGAGCAGGUACAAUUUAACCUAAUCUCCUCUCCUCUCAAGCCCCGAUUGUACUUGGAUACCACUGGUUAAGCCGCCAUAAUCCUUGCAUUGAUUCUUCCACCGCGAAGAUCGUCAGCUGGAGUCCGUUUUGUCACUCCACUUGUCUACAGUCGGCCCUUUCCCCUGUAAGGACCACCACGACCUCGUCUGCCGUUGAGUUGUCCAGGGGUCCAGCGGAGUACCACGACCUGGUACAAAUGUUUAGUGAACAAUGCGCCUUUUCCCUGCCUCCACAACGACUGUGCCAUCGACCUUCUCCCCGGGGCUCCUCUACCCGCCAGUCGGCUGUAUAACCUGUCCUGGCCAGAGAGGGAAGCAGUGGAAGGUUCCAUCAGUGAGUCUCUCGCGGCGGGCAUUAUUCGACCCUCAUCCUCCCCGGUGGGCGCUGGAUUCUUCUUUGAGGGGAAGGAGGAUGGCUCCCUCCGUCCCUGCAUCGAUUACCGAGGCCUAAAUCAUAACCAUUAGAAACAAGUACCCACUGACUCUUGAAGUUCUGCUUUCGAGCCACUUCAUGGAGCCACCAUCUUCUCGGAGCUGGGCCUCCGAUACGCCUACCAUUUGGUCUGGAUAACGGAGGGGGACGAGUGGAAGACGGCCUUCAAUACCCCUUUAGGCCACUUCGAGUACUUGGUCAUGCCUUUCGCCCUCAACAAUCCCCCGCCCCCGCCGUUUUUCAAGCCUUGAUUAACGAUGUGCUAAGAGACUCCAUUAACCGCUUUGUGUUUGUCUACCUGGAUGACAUCCUGAUCUUUUCCAGCAGUCCCCAGCAACACAUGCACCAUGUCCGUCAAGUCCUGCAGAGGCUGGGGGAGAACAAAUUAUUUGUAAAGGCGGAGAAAUGCGAAUUCCACGUCCCCUCGGUCAGCUUCCUAGGGUGAAUCAUCGAGGGGGGUGGGGGGAGACAGGUGAGAGCUGAUCCCGAGAAGAUCUGGGCUGUGGCGGAGUGGCGCAAACCCACGGACCGCAAGCAUCUCCAACUGUUCCUGGGGUUUGCGAACUUCUAUCGCCGGUUCAUCAGAAACUACAGUCAGGUGGCGGCUCCCCUUACCCGACUUACCUCACCUGCCACACCUUCCCUUUGGAACUCCGAGGCGGACUCGGCGUUCUGAUUCAACCAGACCCCUCCUGUCAGUUCAUUGUGGAGGGUGACGCCUCUGACUCCAGGGUGGGAGCGGUACUGUCCCAACGUUCGGGCCCGGAUCAGAAACUACAUCCCUGUGCCGCCUUCUCUCGUCCACUGUCUCCCGCUGAACGAAACUACGACGUGGGGAACCGGGAGCUACUAGCGGUCAAUCUGGCGAUGGAAGAAUGGAGGCACUGGUUGGAGGGGCGGAACACUCACCCAUUGUCUGGACAGACCACAAGAACCUUGAAUAUAUCCAGACCGCCAAACGCCUGAAUUCCCGCCAGGCCCGUUAGGCACUAUUUUUUGGCCAGUUCAGAUUCUCCCUCACCUAUCGUCCGGGGUCCAAGAACUGGAAGCCCGAGGAGGAUCUUUCCAACCCCGAGACCAUUCUUCCACCAUCCUGUGUAGUGGCUGCCCUAACCUGGGAGAUCGAGUCUAGAGUCAAAGAGGAACAAAGGACGCAACCCGCCCCAGACACCGGACCUCCCAAUCUCCUCUUUGUACCCGAUGCUGUUCGAUCACAGGUUCUACAGUGGGGGCACACUUCAAGAUUCCUCUGGUUUCCUGUUCUACGUUCAGGUCCACGCCAGCCUUCCCAACUGAGUGGACGUGCCGGUGUCCUGCACUUGGGCCCUCCUCAGUGCCCCCCCCCCCCGCAACAACUUGUCCACCAGUCCUCUGUACUCUGACUCCUGCCCAUCUCUGAUACACCCAACCACCGCUGAGUUAUCAGAACUUCUGCAAGUGACAAGACUCUGAUCUGUACUGAAAGUCUGAGGUGUACAGUGUGAACAGAGAUGAGACGGUCCCUUGUGGCACUCCAGUGCCAAGCACCACCAUCUCAGACAGAGAACUACCCAGCCGUACAAACUGGGGUCUGUCUGUCAGGUAAUGAUCCAGGAGAUUUGUCUACACCCAUCCUUGGCAGCUCCUCACUCAGACUGAAUUGAAGGCACUAGAAAAAUCAAAGAAUGUGAUUCUCACAAUGCCACCAGCAUCACCCAGGUGGGAAUGAGCUCACUACAACAGGUAGAUGAUGACAUGAUCCCCUCCCACAUGAGGUUGGUAGGCAAACUGCAUAGAGGGUCCAAUGAAGAUCUCACCUGUGGUCCAAGGGACGUUUUGCAUCAUUUCUCUGUGCACGUGCGUCGCUGGAAUUAACUUUGAACUCUCCCGCUACCCCAGAUACCUGUAUGGCCUGCCCGACGACAUCAGCCACGGCUACGGCUGGUCCAUGUUCUGCGCCUGGGGC